UUAACUGGAGGGGAGGUGGGGAUGACGUCAAAUCCUCAUGGCCCUUAUGUCCUGGGCUACACACGUGCUACAAUGGCGGUGACAAAGGGAAGCUAGAUGGUGACAUCAAGCUAAUCUCUAAAAGCCGUUUCAGUUUGGGUUGCAAUUUGCAAAUUGAGUGCAUGAAGGUGGAAUCGGUAGUAAUCGCGGAUCAGCAUGCCGCGGUGAAUACGUUUCCGGGCUUUGUACACACCGCCCGUCACACCCUGGGAGUUGGUUAACAUUAAACCGGUGAGGGAACCCGCAAGGGGAGCAGCCGACCACGGUCGGGUCAAAGACUGGGGGAAGUCGUAACAAGUGCAGGC
rnacentral:rRNA from 1 species